GGGCAGCUCUCUCGCUGGGAAAAGUGGGCACAUUUCAAAUGGGGUUCACACUCGGCGAUCUCGGCUAGCACGCCAAAGCACAAAAUUCGCACAUUCAAAUUGUAAAAUGAAUUUCCCGUACCGGUGCCAGCCUAAAAUGGAAACAAAUAAUAAUCCCUAAUAAUAUGGAUCAGUGAUGAUGGUUGGUAAUAAUAUAGGAACACUAUUGGGGAUUCUCAAUUAGGGCAUGAUUCAAGUAAGGUCCCAAAUUGUUGACCUGCUCUCAAUUUGUCAUUCCAUCGGGUACGAGAAUUCUGUGACUCAAUUAGACGCUCGUCUAGUCAAGAAUGAUAAAUGCCAUUAAUCAAGGAGCUGAUAUUAUUGGCCCAAUACCAAAUCGAAAGACUUAAACAACGAACAUGCCACUGGAAGAUGUUCCAUACAGGAAAACUGCGUUAACCCUAAUUGGUGUGUUGAUUUACUUAUAGUUUUCAUUAAUCUUCUAGAUGCAAUGAAAUAGAACUGGUUAUCUAAUUGCUUGGCUUGGUUGCUUGUCAAUCUGAUAACUAGUUCUAUAGGUACUAUCACGCGAAAAGCUCUUAACUAACUAAGUGGUUCCGACUACCUUGAUUAAACAGAUUAAACUUGGCGACUUUGGGUGGUGGGGGAGAAGUGUAAUCACACUACAUCGAUUUCACUGUGAGAUAGGUAAGUAUAAGCAACUAAAUAUCCGGAACAUCAAGCGGCAACGAUACGUUCUCCGUCUGCAAAACAUUAUCAAACUGAAAUCUAUUGGUAUGCGAGCACUGCAAACAGCUUUCGCUGAUUAUAUAGAUAGAUAGCAGCCUUCAAUUGAGAAUACGAAAUUAUUGGAAUACAGAGAGAAUCUCUAGUGCUAAUAUUAUAUCUUACUUCUUUUAAAUUUGAACAACUCUCACUGUUAUAAACUAUAUUUAGUUGAUAGAUGGAUAAUAACAAAAGUAUUGUUAGAAAAUCUCUGCCAGUAAUGGGAUUAAUCACUCAAACUGCAAAAUAUCUUUCAACUUAUACUAACAUUUUAGUUCUGGAGGAGGUGAGUUCGACAAGUGACGCCAUGUGCGUUUUGAAUGCAUCUUAUGUGCGAUCACAGUUAUCGCCAACUGAAUGCAUUCUACUAGAUUCCCACAAUCGCUAUACAUGUACAUCCCAGUGCUUGGGGGCAAUCAACCUGAUCAGAAUUCCGGGGGAGACGUCGCCGAAAGCCAAUUGGCAUGCGAUCGAUGCAAUCGCCGGGGCAUAAUAACACCGAUCAUUCUACUAUAAUGACUAAUCCGGAUCACUUGGCCAUGCAGGGCAGGCAGAAACAGCGGGGGCCGAACUGAACUGCGGGAAAUUCCAGACCCUGUCCCCAAAGAAUGGCUUUUUCGGUUCCGGCUCAUCAAUUUGAACUAUUUUAUUGCAGCUCAUAUCUUAGCUCAAUAUGGUAGGUGAAACAAUCACGAAAUUCAAUUCAGAUCAUGUAUUUCAGAUCAAAUUAUAUAAUAAUUUUUAUCGGAAAUAUACAUAAGAUCUUUCUUAUCGCACCUGUUGGCAUCCUAAUUAAAUAAGAUGUUAAUUCGCAUUGAUUUAAAUUAAAACUGCAGUUCAAAGUGCAAAUCAAAUUCAUUAUAUUAUAUGUAUUAAAUGCUAUAAUGAUGAUAAAAACAAGCAUGAUACAACAAAUAUCUUACACUGGAGUUUUAAUUUACGCAAAUGAUAUUUAAUUAGGCAGAAAUAAAACAGGAACAUAAAUAAAUGAGAUUUAUAAGAAAAUUCCA